rnacentral:rRNA from 1 species
GUGCCAGCAGCCGCGGUAAUACGAAGGGGGCUAGCGUUGCUCGGAAUUACUGGGCGUAAAGGGCGCGUAGGCGGGUGUUUAAGUCAGAGGUUAAAUCCCAGGGCUCAACCCUGGAACUGCCUUUGAUACUGGGCACCUAGAGUUCGGGAGAGGUGUGUGGAACUCCGAGUGUAGAGGUGAAAUUCGUAGAUAUUCGGAAGAACACCAGUGGCGAAGGCGACACACUGGCCCGAUACUGACGCUGAGGCGCGAAAGCGUGGGGAGCAAACAGGAUUAGAUACCCUCGUAGUCC